UAUCCAAAUUUUUUUAACAGUUUCUUACAUAUUAUUACAAAGCAUGCGAAGAAUCAAACUAUACUGGAGCAUUUAUUAAAUUAUUUUCAAGAAAAAAAACCAAAACCUGUUACUAUACCUGCAGCAUUAAUUAUUAUUAUUAUUAACGUAUAUUCCGUAAAUCAAACUAAGUUAAUAGAAGAAUUCGUUGAAAGAUGGAAGACGGACUUAGCAGACAUAAUUAAUAUAAU